UGUGACUGUGGGAUCCUUUCAGAAGCUGCCCCGGCUGGCUACCAGAGCCUUCAGCACAACAAACAAACAGAUGAAGAACAAGGUGCCAGAUCGUCAGAACCUAUUCCAGGGGAGCAUGACAUCAUUAGGACACCUGGGUGAGAAACAAUCCCAAACAAGGAAAACAAGAGGCGGACAACGGCUUGCCAGUCCACAUCAAGGGAGGGGCCACUGAUGUCCUUCUCUACCGGCUAACAAUGACCAUCACCCUCCGCAGGCACUGGAUAUUCCUUAUUCUGGAUUCUACGUGCCUGUCAGCCCAAGGGCAAAUGAGGAAGCCCUGCGAAUGCAUGUGUUUGUUUAAAUCAAUUCCACUUUAUGACCUUCUUCUAAUGUCAUGGGACACUUUAUGUACAGAAUACAGAAAUCUCUCUAUUAUGCCUCUGUUUCAAGGCAAGCCCUAUUUUCCUCUAUCAACCCAUGUGUCAUUUCACUUCAACCUCAAUGAAAUGAUCUAUUCCUGCCA